rnacentral:lncRNA from 1 species
AUGGCCUUUGGUUUUCUCUCCUGGGGCACUUUCUGGCCGAGGGUGCAAGGUGCUCACCGGCAGCUGCCCGGCCCCUCCUUCCUGUAACCCGAGGGUGUCUCUGUUCAAGUCACAAACCAGCCCUCCCUGCCUGCCCUCCCACAUGACUGGAUGACGUCCCCGGAGCAACACCCUCCGAGGAAGACUGCCAGGGUUGUGCCCCAGGAGGAACUGACAAGUGGCAAGCAACCGGCAGAGGACGGACGGACGGACGGGCAGACUGAGGAAGAGAGGAGGAGAGAGAGAGAGAAAGAGAGAGGGAGACUGGUACCCACCCCCCACCCCUCCGGGAAGGAUGGUCUGAGUUAUCAUCAACGCCUGCAGCUAUGUGGUGGCAAGAAUCAGGAGCUGCUGCAGCUGUUGUGGUGAAGACGGCGAAGCGGAGCGGCGCGACGCAUCGGUCCCACCGAAAGAUAAAGCCCCAGAAGUAGGAGGAGGAUGACGACGCCAACCCAGAGAGGUGGAGCCGCCUUCCGAGUCCAACUUUCCCAUCAGAUCUCAGCCAGCGGGAACAUGAGGCUAGAAGACCGUGCCGGGACCGUUCUUCGGAACAGGACCCUGCGCCGCUGAUGGAGAGAAACCUGAUUUUGCUAAACCCACCCAGGCCAUUGCCCGUUGGGUUAUCACACAAAGCCAUGACGACACAUUCACCAGCUCCGCAAGGAGAUGAAUGGGCCUGAAUUCUUUUCCUUUUGCUGUGAUACCCUUACAAGUUAAUGUCCUGGUGAACAAUUGUCACGACGUCAAGCCAGAUAAACGGAUGUCUGAACCUAAGAGUCCUACAAAGCUUAGGAGAGCUUCAAGAAGAAAAUCAGAAGCCCAUGUUCAUCACAGCUGGCCUUUAUCCCAAAAGGAGUUCAUUCCAGUGAGAACCGGAACAACAUUUUACACCUUGCAUAAUGUUCUUUUUUUCUUCUGGAUCUUUCUUAAGUUCCUGUCCCUUUGCAAGUUUGGCCAAUUGGGUUUCCCAAAAUACCUGGUUUUCCCUCUUAUAUUUUUCCAAACACACACAAGAAAAUGUUUGUGAGUGAUUAUUUACAAAAUGUAUAUUUAUAAGGUCAAGCAGGAUGUGUCAGAAAUAGGCUGAUAGAAACUUAGAGAAGUUGAGAUACUGCCAAAUAGUGAAGUUAAUAACUCUCAGUGAUAUGAGUCACAGCAACAUGGAUAAAUUUGAUAAAUCAGAGCCUACACAAAAAACAGCAUCAUAUUAGUACAGGUUUAGAGAAUAAAUUCUAACCUCCACCCA